GACGGAGGAUGCAAGCGUUAUCCGGAAUGAUUGGGCGUAAAGCGUCCGCAGGUGGCAGUUCAAGUCUGCUGUCAAAGACCGGGGCUUAACUUCGGAAAGGCAGUGGAAACUGAACAGCUAGAGUAUGGUAGGGGCAGAGGGAAUUCCUGGUGUAGCGGUCGAAAAUGCGCAGAUAUCAGGAGGAACACCGGUGGCGAAGGCGGUUCUCUGGGAAGUGACCUGACGCUGAGGAGCGAAAGCGUGGGGAGCGAACAGG
rnacentral:rRNA from 1 species